UUGUUUAACUGAACAGACUUAGCUGUCAUAAGGUCAAAAUUGCAAAAAAUAACAUGCUUCAAAGUUCUUAUAUCUGUAUAUAAUUAUAAGUUUAUAACAUACGCCACAUUCUACAUAACUGGUGCAGGCAAACAAUGAGUCGAGCACAAUAUCAUAUUCUGCUGGUGAGCUAUUUCUGUCUGUUGUCAACUUGAACCAUUGCCAUGACUUUUGAACGGUGAGAGAUAGAGACUUCAUAUUUGGUAUGCAUACUACGAUAAUUAAGUUCUUUGAAAUGCAACAAGGUCAAUGACCUUGUGACUUUGACUGUAACUAUAUGUUAAAAUAGCUUUUUCGAACUUUUGCCAUAACUGUUUAUCUGUGUCUGUCUGUUGUCAACUUAAACCUUCACAAUAACUUUAGAACUAUAUGAGAUAGUGAAAUCAUAUUUAGUAUGCAUACUCCACUUAUGAAGUGCUUUCACAUGACAACAAGGACAAUGAUUAUGUGAUCUUGACUGUGACCUAUAUGCUAAAAAAAUUGCUUUUUCGAACUUUGUUCAGCCAGGCACAUAGUGUUUUACAAGCGCAUCUUGUUCUUAUUUUUUCUCCCAUCCCGGUUGUUGCUAAUGCUAUUACAUAAUUAGUUUAAAUUAGAAUGAAAUAGUACCUGAACAUAAUUUAUCAUUUCAGAGAGAAGAAAACUGCAUGACUUUAAAAAGAAAACCAGUGAGAUAAAAUCAUAUAAAAUGUAUGAUGAUUCAGGAUGUGGUCAUUUGAGUCCUGUUCUGUGGAUGCCCUUAGACAGUGUGUCUACCCAUCACGCCAUCUGAUAUCACUUGUUCUGAGCAUAUUUCUCUCUCAAACUUAAACUACAGAGAGCCUGUGGAUAGAGGAUGAAGAGUGACCUUGGACUACUUUUCUAGGUCAAAGAUCAUAGGUGAUGUGAAGAAAAUACCAAGGAACUGAUGUUGAAAGAAGUACUUAAUGACACUUAUGAAUGGACUUCAACGUGAAAGACUGUUCCAUUGUUUAUCUAAGAUAUAUGAAUUUUGAUAUCAUUGAAAAAUACUGUUACAGUUUUUGUACAUCAAAUGAAUUAUUAAACAUAUAAAAUGGUAAUGCUUUUUUCUCUUACAUGUAAUAAUUUUUUAUAUAGAUUCACUGAAAAGAAUAUACAUAAUUUCACAUCGCUUCCUUCAGAAAAGUUAGGAAAUCUUGAAGUUUCCCAGUAAUUUCAACCAGGAAUGGGACUCAAGAUAAUUCCACCAAGUUUCCGCCACACAGAAACUGCUACACAAGUUCCAUAUCGUUUCCUGAGUCAGGAAACUUUAGGAAUCGUUAGGUUUCACGAGCUUCCAUGUAGUUUCCCGUAAUAGGAAACCUUAAGAUUCCAUCAAGUUUCCAUUCCACGGAAGCCACUACGCUCCGAUUCCAUGUGGUUUCCUGAGUCACGGAAACUUUAGGAAUCGUGAGGUUUCCCGAGCUUCCAUGUAGUUUCCCGUAAAAGGAAACCUAAAGAUUCCACCAAGUUUCCAUUCCACGGAAACCCCCUACGCUCCGAUUCCAUCAAGUUUCCUGAUUCUGGAAACCAGUGGAAUCUUGAGGUUUCCCAUUACGGGAAACUACAUGGAUAUUCGGGAAACUUCAGGUUUACAGAGGUUUCCGUGGUUCGGGAUACCUUAUGGAAUCGGAGCGUAGGGGGUUUCCGUGUAACGGAAACUUGGCGGAAUAACCUAGCAUCCGCUACGGAAACCACUGGGAAACAUGAUGUAAACUUGAGGUUUCCAUGUGGUUUCCAUAAAGUUUCCCAUGACGGGAAACCACUUUU